UCCCUGUAGGAGGACCCUGCUCUACCUUUUUAAGACCAAUGCAGUGCCCAAGGCAGUGGGGGAGAGAGGCAGGACUCCUCUAUUAGUACAAGUCCUUAGUGACAUUAAAAGAGGUGGUACGUUCUUCUGAUAUGGGGGAGUUAUAGCUAACUCACAUCAGUGUUAUUCAUAUUUGUAUAGGAAACUUGGCUUUCAGAGUACACAGUGGUAUGUAUAGACUCCUCCAUGUACGCAGUCCUGGGAAAUGAUGCAUCAAACAACACCUUCUGCAGACAAUUUUGAAGAAGCUGGAAAACCUACUAGCAGUGUUACACCAGUUUUCAUCAAUGGUGGUCAUCAUCAUGUUCCAGCAGACUUCAUCUCUCCACUUUAAUUUGAUCAAAAAUAUCCUGUGAUGAAAACAACUUUGGCAGCAGUACCAGAAAGAAUAAGGUCUUGUAGGCAUGAUGGGAAGCUCUAGAUAAGUAGCAUGAUAAAUGCUUGUGUCCUUCUUUUCAUAGUGCUGAUAUUUCUACUUCAGCCAGUGCUGUCUACCUGAUUGCUGUCCACCACCUCAAGACUCUUUAUCAGGAGGCUGAAUCCUCUGGUUGGCAGAACUUUGUCUUUACCUAUGGAGAAGUCACUCCUCUUCCUUCUAUGUUAUUUUGUCUACAACAUCAGUUCAAAUUCAUGUUUCUCAUGAUAUUCAAGAAGCUCAGAGGCAGAACUUUCCUACCUACAGUGCACUAAAUUGUACAUAUUGAUCCUACUUUCUGCUUAACAAUGGAGAACUACCUCAAACAAACUGGAAGUAGCUGUACUGGAGCUUAAUGUUGAAGGUUGAAAGUGCUGUAAAGGUGUCACAGAAGACUAAUAUUAUUGCCUAACUGUAAACAACAGAGCUUAAAAGACACUAUAAUUUUCUUCUCAUAAAACACAUUUAAUCGAAGUUUUAUUGUACCUUCAAUGUUUAUUAAGGCAAUAAUGUAAUUAUUAAUUAUUUAAGCAUGACUUUAUAAUAAAACCUGCAAUAUCAAGUGUCCUGCCACCAGUUAUCUAGUUCAAAUGGAGUUUGCAUAUACCACUGCAGGAGAAAAGCUAUGUUCUGUCUCCAGAUUGACAAAGUUAGUAGAGUAGCAAGCAAUUUUCUAUAGAUAUGGCCAAAUUCAACUCUUUCCAUAUUGCCCCAGACAAUUCAGAAAAAGCUUCAAAUAGCUACAUCGGAUUAGGAAUUGGUCCAAGUGGUACUGUGGGCAGUUGUCACUAUCUUUUUUUUAAAAGGAUUGAUUCAGCUUUCCUAAAAUUCAUUUGAACAAAAUCUGUCAAUCUGCUUUGUAGGUAAUGUCUGACAAUUUGAUGGAUGGAUCGCAUUUUCUGAUAUUAGCAGAAAAAGAGAACACUUCUCUCCACAGAAAAGGGCUAUAAGAUUUGUGUGGAAUGUACCUUCCUCUUCUGUCAAGGCAAUUGAAUGAUUACUAUAAUAAUAAUAAGUAAUGUUAGACCAGAGGCAAAAGAUUCAAAAGUUAAUCCCUGACCCUCAUAGGAUCUCCCUGAAGACGGUGCAGCAUUCUUCAUGAUAAGGAGUGAUGUUUUCACUUCAGUAGUGAUUAGACAGGGAUAUACAUUGCAAACACAGAAAUAGUCACAGAAAUGUACUGUCAUGCUGACAGUGUCAACAAAAUAGGAAUGAAAUGUCUGGGCAGAAGUAAUACAGAAACACUUAUUCUCCCAAUCUUCUUCUAUCUCUGAGCUGCAGGCUACUGGGGGAAUAUUGCAUCAUGCUCACCCAUUCUGGAACAGCCAAAAUAUUAAAACAGGGGAUCAUAUUUAGUAACCCACAAUGACUCCAGUACUCAGAGUAAAGGGUUUCAAAGAAAGCAGCAGGGGUCCUCCACAGUUACAGAAUAAACUAGGAAAAUCCUCUUUCUAGUAUAUACUGCUUUAUUCACUCUGGGACAUCUUUCUCCAUGACUUUGCAAUGCAUGACUUUGCAUAAUCUGUUCUAAUUAAAAAAAAAAAAAAAAAAAAAAAGUAUUGUUUGACCAUGACACAGUCACAUGAUUUUUAAAAGAAAACACA